GCAGAGUCUUGGUUCUGUCGUUUGCCUUUAAAAGAAGGCAAAAGGAAAGUCCGGGCAGCGUAGAGCGUUUCGCUUUUGAAAGUAAAAGCUACUAGUAAUAGUAGGUUAUGGUAGAAGAAAAUAACCGCCAUCGCAAGGUGGUAAGGGUGAGAAGGUAGUGUAAGAGACUACCAGCAGGCGGGUGAUCGUCUGGCUGUACCGUUCAGGAGCUGCAAGUUCAUGUAAACCGUUGUUUGAGGGCUGCCCGCCCAAGCGUUAGCACAACGGAGGGUAGAAUGCUUGAGUUACAAGGUGACUUGUAAACUAGAUAAAUGACAGGCAUCUUCCUAUUUAUCGAAAGAUGAGGAAGAGACGGAACCCGGCUUAUAGGAACACUGCUUUA
rnacentral:RNase_P_RNA from 1 species